CAAGCGUUAAUCGGAAUUACUGGGCGUAAAGCGCGCGUAGGCGGCUUGAUAAGCCGGUUGUGAAAGCCCCGGGCUCAACCUGGGAACGGCAUCCGGAACUGUCAGGCUAGAGUGCAGGAGAGGAAGGUAGAAUUCCCGGUGUAGCGGUGAAAUGCGUAGAGAUCGGGAGGAAUACCAGUGGCGAAGGCGGCCUUCUGGACUGACACUGACGCUGAGGUGCGAAAGCGUGGGUAGCAAACAGGAUUAGAUACCCUGGUAGUCCACGCCGUAAACGAUGUCGACUAGCCGUUGGGGUCCUCGAGACCUUUGUGGCGCAGUUAACGCGAUAAGUCGACCGCCUGGGGAGUACGGCCGCAAGGUUAAAACUCAAAUGAAUUGACGGGGGCCCGCACAAGCGGUGGAGCAUGUGGUUUAAUUCGAUGCAACGCGAAGAACCUUACCUACUCUUGACAUCGAGCGAACCWUCCAGAGAUGGAUGGGUGCCUUCGGGAACGCUCAGACAGGUGCUGCAUGGCCGUCGUCAGCUCGUGUUGUGAAAUGUUGGGUUAAGUCCCGUAACGAGCGCAACCCUUGUCCCUAUUUGCCAGCGAUUCGGUCGGGAACUCUAGGGAGACUGCCGGUGACAAACCGGAGGAAGGUGGGGACGACGUCAGGUCAUCAUGGCCCUUACGAGUAGGGCUACACACGUGCUACAAUGGCCGGUACAAUGGGCUGCMAUCCCGCGAGGGGGAGCUAAUCUCAUAAAGCCGGUCUCAGUCCGGAUCGGAGUCUGCAACUCGACUCCGUGAAGUCGGAAUCGCUAGUAAUCGUGCAUCAGAAUGGCACGGUGAAUACGUUCCCGGGCCUUGUACACACCGCCCGUCACACCAUGGGAGUGGACUGCACCAGAAGUGGUUAGCCUAAC
rnacentral:rRNA from 1 species